rnacentral:rRNA from 1 species
CUUGGUCAUUUAGAGGAAGUAAAAGUCGUAACAAGGUCUCCGUUGGUGAAAAGGGGAGGGAUCAUUAAAGAGUUGCAAAACUCCCAAACCAUUGGGAACAUACCUUCAACGUUGCUUCGGCGGGUUGGCCCCGGUCUCCGGGGUCCCCGGCCCUACUCGGGCGCCCGCCGGAGGUAUCUAACUCUUGAACUUUUAUGGCCUCUCCGAGUCUUUGUACUUAAUAAGUCAAAACUUUCAACAACGGAUCUCUUGGUUCUGGCAUCGAUGAAGAACGCAGCGAAAUGCGAUAAGUAAUGUGAAUUGCAGAAUUCAGUGAAUCAUCGAAUCUUUGAACGCACAUUGCGCCCGCCAGUAUUCUGGCGGGCAUGCCUGUUCGAGCGUCAUUUCAACCAUCAAGCCCCCGGCUUGUGUUGGGGACCUGCGGCUGCCGCAGGCCCUGAAAACCAGUGGCGGGCUCGCUAGUCACUCCGAGCGUAGUAAUACAUCUCGCUCAGGGCGUGCUGCGGGUUCCGGCCGUUAAAAAGCCUUAUUUACCCAAGGUUGACCUCGGAUCAGGUAGGAAGACCCGCUGAACUUAAGCAUAUCAAUAAGCGGAGGA